CCCAAUUGAUGAAAAAAAUUAAUAAAAUAUAGUUUCAUUGGUCCAAUAUUAUUUAUAAAUUUGAAAAUUAUCAUUAUAUAUACCAGCGGUUUAGUAACUGCUGCAAUAAAAAUAAAAAGCGCUGGUAUAAUAUACUUUUAGCGACAGUUAGCCUAAUUGCUGGUAAAAAAACUGUUAGAAGAAGCUCUAUUUGUUGUAGUGUAUAGUCAAAUCCAAAACAAGUGAUAGUUGAGGAAAGUUUUUGUAUAUCUUCACUUCUCUUUAUUAUCCUCCUAAAAAGU
rnacentral:lncRNA from 1 species